CGAUGAAGGACGUGAUAAGCUGCGAAAAGUCACGGGGAGGUGCAAAUAACCCUUGAUCCGUGAAUCUCCGAAUGGGACAACCCGGUAUCCUGAAGGGAUAUCACCUUACAUUUGUAAGGGGCUAACGCAGGGAACUGAAACAUCUUAGUACCUGCAGGAAAAGAAAAUAACAAUGAUUCCCCCAGUAGUGGCGAGCGAACGGGGAAGAGCCCAAACCAACAGUGUUACGGCAUUGUUGGGGUUGUAGGACCACGACAUUGCAAGAAAUCUUGUGAGAAGAACGGUCUGGAAAGGCCGGCCACAGCGGGUGACAGCCCCGUAUUCGAAGCGAGACGAAGCAUAGUGUAAUCCUGAGUAGCGCGGGAC
rnacentral:rRNA from 1 species